CCAGCUGCCUGAGAGACUGCUGGAUGAAUCUGUCCAAUUUUGAAGGGAGAUGUAAGGGAGCCAAUGGAGUCUGGCUGUCUAAGCCACCUAGCCAUCUAGCAGAUGCACACCUACAACCCUGGGUUUCAACAACUCGAAACUGGUCUACAAACUGAGAAAAGAGAAACUUCGUUCUGUGGUUAUCACAUCAGAGAGAGAAGAUAUCCAAAAAUUUAAGAGAUUAGCAUUGUUUUGCAUAAGGCAACACAUAUGCCAAGUUAUCUGUCCUCCAUCAGUGCGGUUCACAGGAGUCCUGGUGGACGGUUUCCUGGGAGGUUGGGUCUUACCAACAACGUUUGCAACUCAGUGCGAUUUGUGUUAAAAUGAGUCUUCAAAAAGACUGGCCAACUCCAUUUAAAUGGCUAACUCCAUUUGUAUCUUACAUAGUCUUUUGUGUCUGUCUUCACUAUUCUUCUAACGCG
rnacentral:lncRNA from 1 species